AGCAGCCGCGGUAAUUCCAGCUCCAAUAGCGUAUAUUAAAGUUGUUGCAGUUAAAAAGCUCGUAGUUGAAUUUCGGGAUCAAUAUGUCGGUCGUGCCUCGGUACGUACUGGCAUCAUUGGUUUCUCCUUUCUGAUGAACCAUGAUGCCAUUAAUUUGGUGUUAUGGGGAAUCAGGACUGUUACUUUGAAAAAAUUAGGGUGUUUAAAGCAGGCUCACGCUUGAAUACAUUAGCAUGGAAUAAUGAAAUAGGACGUUUGAUUCUAUUUUGUUGGUUUCUAGGAUCGACGUAAUGAUUAAUAGGGAUAGUUGGGGGCAUUAGUAUUCAAUUGUCAGAGGUGAAAUUCUUGGAUUUAUUGAAGACUAACUACUGCGAAAGCAUUUGCCAAGGAUGUUUUCAUUUAAUCAAGAACGAAAGUUAGGGGAUCGAAGACGAUCGGAUACCGUCGUAGUCUUAACCAUAAACUAUGCCGACUAGGGAUCGGAUGAUGUUAAUUUUCAAUUGACUCAUUCGGCGUCCG
rnacentral:rRNA from 1 species